rnacentral:rRNA from 1 species
UACGGGGGGAGCAAGCGUUGUUCGGAUUUACUGGGCGUAAAGGGCGCGUAGGCGGCCAGCACAAGUCAGUUGUGAAAUCUCCGAGCUUAACUCGGAAAGGUCAACUGAUACUGUGCGGCUAGAGUGCGGAAGGGGCAACUGGAAUUCUUGGUGUAGCGGUGAAAUGCGUAGAUAUCAAGAGGAACACCUGCGGCGAAGGCGGAUCUCUGGGCCUUACCUGACGCUGAAGCGCGAAAGCUAGGGGAGCAAACAGG